AUCUAAAGUUAACUCUUUCUGAAGAGUCGUACUAAAUUAUGACACUAUAGAUUGCAAACUAUGGCGUGGUACUAAAUGCCAGCAUUAAUAUCUAUAUAACGUUUAUAAUGUUCUUAUAAUAACUAAUGGUUAUAGUUAUCAAACGUUUUUAGAGGAAAGGUGAGUUCCGUGUUCACCGGACAACUGCGUACUUUAAGCUUAUUAACCGCUAUAUGUGAAUAACGUGAUUGUGCAUUUAAUUAUUAGUCAGCGGGCUGACUAAUAAAGUUAGAAUGAAACUUCAAUUGCGCUUGGGUUAAUUGGAAUUCUAGGAAGGGAUUCGACAGUCCGUGUUAGAGAAAUUCGUUUAAGUUAUGAAACAGCGCCAAGCUCACGAUCAAGUACGGAUUUCGGAACGUCUAUUUCGAGGAAGUGGUUGUGGAGGCUACAAUACGGAGCACAUGAGAUUUGGGGUCACAUUGACGGAUGUGUUUUUGGAGAGCAGUGACUGGUGUUAUCACCAAUCAUCACCUGAUGUUAAUAUGGUCGGAAGGAAAAGUCACUUGACUCCAUGAAGGGAAUUCCCGCAAGGACAUGAACAUCAAGGUUUUCUAUCACAGAAAAGAAAUGUAAGGUAGUCUCUCCUGGAACUUUUAAAGGUGAGCAACCGUCGGCUAAGAAACUGGACACUCGGAACGCUUUGCCUGUUUGAUUCAAAACGUAAAUGAUGUAACAUGUAUCUACAAUAAAACCAAAUUUACGAUUCCCUUGAGAGAAUGGUAGGAUGUUUUAUCUUCCUAAAAUCUACUGGGAAAAAACCACUGGGGAAUAAGUCGUUCCAUUUGGGAGAAAUCCCAUUAUUGUUUUUAUUUCUUUUUGAUUCUUCUAUAGAGGGCAUUAAAUUUUCAUGUAUUGAAGAAGAUUGGGUAUAUUUCAUGAGGUCUUACUUAGGAUAAAAACCUUAUAAAAAUCCUCUGUAAAAUAUGUACUGGUGUAGGUGGUGAGUGUAUAUUGCAGUUAUGAAGUGACCAUUGCAGAAUGUUUACCUACAGAUGCCAUUUUUUCAUAUCUAAUGCAUAUAAACUUCUUA
rnacentral:sRNA from 1 species